rnacentral:rRNA from 1 species
GGUGAACCAGCGGAGGGAUCAUUAA